rnacentral:ribozyme from 1 species
UACAAUGGUGGUAGUAAUACUACGGAUUCAAAACCUCUUGAAGGUCAACAAAGGCUCUCCAUACCCUACUUCGACUCAAUACGUCCUCGACGAAUAUAUCUCGGUAACAUACCGUAUACCGUAUAGAACGGUAACAUGUCUCGCCAAAUAUCUGAGCGUGGGUAUACGGGGCAACCCAACCUCUUCGGAAGAUAGGUGAUAUGGCUAAAUUGAGCAGA